CACCAAGAGUUAUGACGUCACCCAAGGGAAGGGAUGACGUUACAUCACAGUUAUUAAUUGAUGAGUCAGUUGUGGCCCUAAAGCAACCGAUACGGACUAAUUAAUCAGAUAAAAAGGAAGCUCACUUACUAAUUUAAUUAUGCAGAUCGAAGAAAACCUCCAAAGUCUACUUUCAUUGUCCUGGUUAUUUGCUGACAUACCCAUGUCUCUGAUCAAACGGUAUGGAUUAUGUACAAUCCGAUCUUUGAUGGUAUCUACGGCAGUCUUUGUCCAAAUAUUGUUCUCUUUCUUCUUUGAGCAGGCUUUCUAUCAACAUUUGCGCAAAUUUUAUAGCCGCUUAUAUUCCGGUAAACUAACGUUCUGUCGAUGGGCAAAUCCCUACAGAAAUCCGGAGAAAUUUCAUAUAUUUAAUAUAUAUCAUAAUGACUCAAACCUAUCAAUAACUAAACCAACCUAGGCUUAUUAAACUAUUUUAAUCUAAAUAUAUGUUGUUUUAGAUUUGGAACAUGGUAUCUAUUUCUACAGUAAAGAAGAUUUUUAGUUAGUAGACGAAAUCUAACAUUAUAAGGAUAAUUACGUAACAUAUCAUUUGUGGAGGUGAUUUAUAAAUAUAUGAAUACAAAUAAGUGUACUUCAGAAACUAAGUUUUGAAUAUGAACCUGUCCUCUUUUAUGGAAAAAUACAACAGCCUCUAAUUACUUCAUUUACCAAGAACCUAUAAUGAACCCUUCUUUUGUACAAACAAAUCCUCAAUUAGAGGCAGGAAAAAAAGGAGUCCUUAAUAAAAAUAUAUAUGUUUUUCUUCAUAAUAAUUAUUAUUAAUAACGCUUUUUUUUGUUUUAUUUUCAUGUAUAAGAAGUGUAUUGUGCUAAUUACUUGAAAAGUUUUCCAAUUUAUAUAUUUUUUCAUGUCUUUUCACAAACAAAAAAAUAAAGAAAGAUCCGUAAUUAAGAAUAAAACGCAAAAAUAGUGUCUAUUUGAUUAUCUUAUCAACUAAGUUAA
rnacentral:lncRNA from 1 species